rnacentral:lncRNA from 1 species
GAUAGCAGGUCAGGGAUAAAUUAUCAAACCUCAUCAUCAGUUAUAUGAUAGAUUUUUGAUCAGUUCAAGUCCAAUUGUGAUCCUUAUGAAAACUCUUUUCUAUCAAUCAUACUGCUAUGGCCACAGACUCUCAGAUUUAACCUCUUAAAUCUUAUAGGACUACUCUCUAUCAAGGUCGAUAGAUUUCAUCUUGAUGCAUACC